CUCAGGAUCCUCUUACAAGCCUCACAGGAAUGUGUUCUCAAGACCUUUUUGCCUUUCUGGAAGCGUUGUCUUUGGACAUUUCGGAGCAAAGCACUGAAAGUUUUUUCAUCACCCUGAUAGUCCCAUAGCAGUCCAGCUGUCUCGGGAGCCUUGGAGAAAAUGCAAACAGCUGAAGUAAACAGAACCCUUAGUCCAGUGCUGAAACACUGACCCUCACUGCAAGGUGAGCAGCUCUACCUGGAGUAUCUUGAGAAGUUCAUUCCCCCCUGAUGGAAACCACCCAUGGGUGUGAUUCUUAUCUCGGUUUGAGCAUGCUAUCAGUGGAGGUAAAACCAGAAUCUCUUCACCUGAUUUUGUAUGACGAUAGCCUGGCACUCUAAACCUUUGGGAAAAAGGUAACUGGUUUGGAUACCUGCAUGGAAAUCUCCAGUUCUCGAGGUGUUUAUCACACUAUUGGUCUACAGUCCUUCAUGGUGGCAGCAGGAUAAUAAUGUUGAUGUGCUUGAUAUUUAUGUGGUAUUAUUACAAAUUUUGCUAACACGUGUGAUGUGCCCUUUUCGGCAUUGCAAAGAUAUUCUUCUAAUAUUGCUUGACUGUAUUGCUGUGAUUGCUGCCUAAGAUUUCACACUGCAAGAUGGUAAGAGCUAGAAAAAAGUAGGGAAGAGCAUGAAAUUGACUCUUUCCAUGUAAAAUUGCUAAUCAUAUGCCAUUGCAUGUUUUACAGAGUUGCAACAAAAAAAUCUGAUUUUGCUUCCAAUGAAGAUUUGUAUUGCAGGGCCCCUGUGACACCUGAUAUAAAUGCAACUUCUUUGCUUAAGGCAAAGUGGUGUUUGUAAAAGAGCAUCAUUUCAGCUGUGUGCUGAGAUUUAAGAUGCUCCUCAGUGGCCAGGCUGUGGGGUACAAUGUCUGCUGUUUCAUUCACAAUUCCUGUUCAGCUUGAUGCCACUCCUGACCCCAUCUACGCAAGGGGAGGGCUGCUCUGCCCUGUGGUGGUUGAGGAGCAGUCAGGCACAGCCUCCUUAGCUUGGCCUGUCGACAAAGGCAUCUCGAUUGCCCUUGCCAUGGUGGUGUCCCACUGGAGUCACCUGCUGCUCCCAGUCAAAGGGUGGGGUGAGAAUGGGGCUGAGCCAGGCUCUGACAUCAAUGGGAAGUGGUCUCAGAGGUCUGCAGAGACUGAUUGUCUUUACUUAAUCUGUGAGAAAGCAAAACCAGCUGUCAUUGGGCAGUGCAGAUGGACAGCUGUGCUUUUAAUCACUUGCAUUAAAAAAAAAAUAUAUGAAAAUCAAUUGGAAUAUAGUGUACAACUGUCCCCAGUCGUGGUUCUGAGGCUCCACCAUGGCCACCUGCUGGCUUGUCCCUUCUCCAGCCCUGGCUGCAGAGGAGGAUUUGUUGCCUUCUCUGUUUUAAGCUCUACCCUUCACUGCACAGGAAAACUGUGCUCUUGGCCAGGGUCCAGAGUUGUAACUCUGUUGCCAGAAUUUAUUAAGAAAGCACCAGCCGACCUUCUGUAUCACUUAAUCUUUUCUCUGAUCAUGAGCACUACAGAGGUACCUUUGUAAUGCACCAGGAGAGAUGUUUGAUGUAAUGCCAAUGCUGCUAAGGGCUUUCAUUAUUACUUGGGAUAACCUUCAAUUAAAUUUUCAACAGAAAAAUAGCUUUUUCCUUGCGUGGCAAUAUAUUUGAAUUUAUCAGGUAUUGAAAUAAAUAGUAUUGUUAAAAAAACCAGUCUGAGCUUAGGUAAAACAUGAUUUCUCUACACCACAGUCAGCUAGAUCUCCAAUUUAAAUAAUUUAUAACCGUUUGAAAUAAAAAGAAUUAGAACAUAAUGUCCAGAAUUAGAACAUAAUGUUAAUGUAUGAAAAGGGCUGUGCAUCUAGCCCUAAAUUUUGGCUAGGGCCUUGCAGCAAAGGAGCUACCCUGGAUGGGAGAUGUAAAAAAUUCAUUAAUGAGUAAAUAAGCAGUUCUACAUAUAUGUGUGUGCAUGUAUGUAAUAAAAUGGCAGAACUUUCUGUAGCUAAUUUCUUAUUAGCUGUUAGAAAUUUUGAAUGGUGGCUUUUCAUAUGUUUUCUUAGUUCUCUCAUGAAGCACUGAAGUCUAACUUACAGGAAUGUGAAGCAAUCUGAGAGUUGUCAUUGCUCUACAAUAGCCCAGAUCAAAUCAAUAUUGAAGGGAAGUUCAGUUUCUGUUGUUUUUGGUUUUUUUUUAAAUGUGCAUUAGUUCCGUCAGCACUCUCAUCAUCAGUCCUAGGCUUGUUUCACCUUUUUACAUGAAGUGCAUACCUGGAUUCUCAAAAUUAUUGCACUUAAUACAGCAAUAUUGAUGUAAUUAGGUGAAACCUUUAAAAAUGUAUAUAUACACAAAAUUCACCUGGAUUUCUGUCCUGCUCAGAUCCCUCAAAAAUGUCCUGAUUCAUCACCAAUUUCAAACAAAACCCUUCGAUUGAAGAAAUAGGCACAAAGAACUAGAGAGGGGAUCUGGAUGGAGGUUUUCCUGUUUCAAGUCUGAAGAGUUCAAAUCUGACUUCACAGCUGAAGUCCAGGUGUAGUUAGGGGACCCAUGCCAUGAUUUCAGCAGCAAGUGAAGGAGGACUGAACAA